rnacentral:piRNA from 1 species
UGCAGUCUGACUGGAUUCAUGCCUGC